UUAUUAUUAUUAUUAUUAAGCUGGCAGAAACAAUCUUUUAGCGCAUCAGACACAAUCAUCCGUAGCAUUUCUUCCGGCCCUUUAAGUUUUGCGUUCAAAUUCCGCUGAGGUUUACUUUGUCUUUCAUCAUUUCGGGGUCGAAAAACUAUGUACCAGUU